rfam:Bombyx mori DNA, contig: Bm_scaf22_contig15418, strain: p50T/Dazao, build 2, whole genome shotgun sequence.
UUAACUCAUAUUUGUAUGGAGUUGGAACGUUUGCCUACGUUUGCCGCUAGGGGCACUGUUCCAACUGCAUACAAAUUUGAGUUA